UACGAAGGGGGCGAGCGUUGUUCGGAAUUACUGGGCGUAAAGGGCGCGUAGGCGGCCGAUCAAGUUAGAUGUGAAAGUCCUGGGCUUAACCUGGGGACUGCAUUUGAUACUGAUUGGCUUGAAUUCGGGAGAGGAUAGCGGAAUUCCCAGUGUAGAGGUGAAAUUCGUAGAUAUUGGGAAGAACACCGGUGGCGAAGGCGGCUAUCUGGACCGACAUUGACGCUGAGGCGCGAAAGCUAGGGGAGCAAACAGG
rnacentral:rRNA from 1 species